GUGAGUGCUCCAUACUUCUUUAUAUGCCAUAUCUGUACUUGACUGUAUGGAAUGUAAAGAAGUAUGUAGCAUCUAC
rfam:Lingula anatina scaffold115, whole genome shotgun sequence.